AUUGAACGCUGGCGGCAUGCUUUACACAUGCAAGUCGAACGGCAGCGCGGGCUUCGGCCUGGCGGCGAGUGGCGAACGGGUGAGUAAUACAUCGGAACGUGCCCAGUAGCGGGGGAUAGCUCGGCGAAAGCCGGAUUAAUACCGCAUACGACCUGAGGGUGAAAGCGGGGGAUCUUCGGACCUCGCGCUAUUGGAGCGGCCGAUGGCAGAUUAGCUAGUUGGUGGGGUAAAGGCCUACCAAGGCGACGAUCUGUAGCUGGUCUGAGAGGACGACCAGCCACACUGGGACUGAAACACGGCCCGGACUCCUACGGGAGGCAGCAGUGGGGAAUUUUGGACAAUGGGCGAAAGCCUGAUCCAGCAAUGCCGCGUGUGUGAUGAAGGCCUUCGGAUUGUAAAGCACUUUUGGCGGGAACGAAAAGGACUGUGCCAAUACCACAGUUAGAUGACGGUACCCGCAGAAUAAGCACCGGCUAACUACGUG
rnacentral:rRNA from 1 species